rnacentral:rRNA from 1 species
CAGGRGGCGGAGAACGGGGUGACGUUWWYWYARWARGGUAACCUGCCCAUAAGACUGGGAUAACUCCGGKWWACCGGGGCUAAUACCGGAUAAYAUUUUGAACYGCAUGGUUCGAAAUUGAAAGGCGGCUUCGGCUGUCACUUAUGGAUGGACCCGCGUCGCAUUAGCUAGUUGGUGAGGUAACGGCUCACCAAGGCAACGAUGCGUAGCCGACCUGAGAGGGUGAUCGGCCACACUGGGACUGAGACACGGCCCAGACUCCUACGGGAGGCAGCAGUAGGGAAUCUUCCGCAAUGGACGAAAGUCUGACGGAGCAACGCCGCGUGAGUGAUGAAGGCUUUCGGGUCGUAAAACUCUGUUGUUAGGGAAGAACAAGUGCUAGUUGAAUAAGCUGGCACCUUGACGGUACCUAACCARAAAGCCACGGCUAACUACGUGCCAGCAGCCGCGGUAAUACGUAGGUGGCAAGCGUUAUCCGGAAUUAUUGGGCGUAAAGCGCGCGCAGGUGGUUUCUUAAGUCUGAUGUGAAAGCCCACGGCUCAACCGUGGAGGGUCAUUGGAAACUGGGAGACUUGAGUGCAGAAGAGGAAAAGUGGAAUUCCAUGUGUAGCGGUGAAAUGCGUAGAGAUAUGGAGGAACACCAGUGGCGAAGGCGACUUUCUGGUCUGUAACUGACACUGAGGCGCGAAAGCGUGGGGAGCAAACAGGAUUAGAUACYCUGGUAGUCCACGCCGUAAACGAUGAGUGCUAAGUGUUAGAGGGUUUCCGCCCUUUAGUGCUGAAGUUAACGCAUUAAGCACUCCKKCCUGGGGAAGUACGGCCGCAAGGCUGAAACUCMAAYGGUACUYUGACCGGGGGACCGCCACAAGCGUUGGAAGCCAUGUGCUUUUACUUCGGAGCAWCGGC